GGGGAUAUAGCUCAGUGGUAGAGCACAUGCUUGGCCUGAAUGAAGUCCUAGGUUCAAUCCAGUGCCUCCA
rnacentral:tRNA from 1 species